UACAUAGGGGGCAAGCGUUGUCCGGAAUCAUUGGGCGUAAAGCGCGUGUAGGCGGCUGAAUAAGUCCGCUCUGAAAGCCCGGGGCUCAACCCCGGGAGGCGGGUGGAUACUGUUCAGCUAGAGUCCGGAAGAGGCGAGUGGAAUUCCUGGUGUAGCGGUGAAAUGCGCAGAUAUCAGGAGGAACACCAAUAGCGAAGGCAGCUCGCUGGGACGGUACUGACGCUGAGACGCGAAAGCGUGGGGAGCAAACAGG
rnacentral:rRNA from 1 species